AAAUUGAAGAGUUUGAUCAUGGCUCAGAUUGAACGCUGGCGGCAGGCCUAACACAUGCAAGUCGAGCGGUAGCACAGAAGAGCUUGCUCUUUGGGUGACGAGCGGCGGACGGGUGAGUAAUGUCUGGGAAACUGCCUGAUGGAGGGGGAUAACUACUGGAAACGGUAGCUAAUACCGCAUAACCUCGCAAGAGCAAAGAGGGGGACCUUCGGGCCUCUCGCCAUCAGAUGUGCCCAGAUGGGAUUAGCUAGUAGGUGAGGUAAUGGCUCACCUAGGCGACGAUCCCUAGCUGGUCUGAGAGGAUGACCAGCCACACUGGAACUGAGACACGGUCCAGACUCCUACGGGAGGCAGCAGUGGGGAAUAUUGCACAAUGGGCGCAAGCCUGAUGCAGCCAUGCCGCGUGUGUGAAGAAGGCCUUCGGGUUGUAAAGCACUUUCAGCGGGGAGGAAGGCGGUAAGGUUAAUAACCUUAUCGAUUGACGUUACCCGCAGAAGAAGCACCGGCUAACUCCGUGCCAGCAGCCGCGGUAAUACGGAGGGUGCAAGCGUUAAUCGGAAUGACUGGGCGUAAAGCGCACGCAGGCGGUCUGUUAAGUUGGAUGUGAAAUCCCCGGGCUUAACCUGGGAACUGCAUUCAAAACUGACAGGCUAGAGUCUUGUAGAGGGGGUAGAAUUCCAGGUGUAGCGGUGAAAUGCGUAGAGAUCUGGAGGAAUACCGGUGGCGAAGGCGGCCCCCUGGACAAAGACUGACGCUCAGGUGCGAAAGCGUGGGGAGCAAACAGGAUUAGAUACCCUGGUAGUCCACGCUGUAAACGAUGUCGAUUUGGAGGUUGUGCCCUUGAGGCGUGGCUUCCGGAGCUAACGCGUUAAAUCGACCGCCUGGGGAGUACGGCCGCAAGGUUAAAACUCAAAUGAAUUGACGGGGGCCCGCACAAGCGGUGGAGCAUGUGGUUUAAUUCGAUGCAACGCGAAGAACCUUACCUACUCUUGACAUCCAGAGAACUUAGCAGAGAUGCUUUGGUGCCUUCGGGAACUCUGAGACAGGUGCUGCAUGGCUGUCGUCAGCUCGUGUUGUGAAAUGUUGGGUUAAGUCCCGCAACGAGCGCAACCCUUAUCCUUUGUUGCCAGCGAUUCGGUCGGGAACUCAAAGGAGACUGCCGGUGAUAAACCGGAGGAAGGUGGGGAUGACGUCAAGUCAUCAUGGCCCUUACGAGUAGGGCUACACACGUGCUACAAUGGCGUAUACAAAGAGAAGCGACCUCGCGAGAGCAAGCGGACCUCAUAAAGUACGUCGUAGUCCGGAUUGGAGUCUGCAACUCGACUCCAUGAAGUCGGAAUCGCUAGUAAUCGUAGAUCAGAAUGCUACGGUGAAUACGUUCCCGGGCCUUGUACACACCGCCCGUCACACCAUGGGAGUGGGUUGCAAAAGAAGUAGGUAGCUUAACCUUCGGGAGGGCGCUUACCACUUUGUGAUUCAUGACUGGGGUGAAGUCGUAACAAGGUAACCGUAGGGGAACCUGCGGUUGGAUCACCUCCUUACCAAGAAG
rnacentral:rRNA from 1 species